rnacentral:rRNA from 1 species
UCUCCCUACGGGGCGCAGUAGUGAGGAAUAUUGGUCAAUGGGCUUACGCCUGAACCAGCCAAGUCGCGUGAGGGAAGACUGCCCUAUGGGUUGUAAACCUCUUUUGUCAGGGAGCAACGCCGGCUACGUGUAGCCGGACUGAGAGUACCUGAAGAAAAAGCAUCGGCUAACUCCGUGCCAGCAGCCGCGGUAAUACGGAGGAUCCGAGCGUUAUCCGGAUUUAUUGGGUUUAAAGGGAGCGUAGGUGGACAGUUAAGUCAGUUGUGAAAGUUUGCGGCUCAACCGUAAAAUUGCAGUUGAUACUG